rfam:Glycine max cultivar Williams 82 chromosome 18, whole genome shotgun sequence.
UCUUGUAGAAAUAAAUGUCUGGUGAACUGAAACAUCUUAGUAGCUAGAGGAAAAUAAAACAAAAGCGAUUCCCUUAGUAGUGGUGAGCGAAAUGGGAGCAGCCUAAAUCGUGAAAACGAGAUUGUGGGAGAGUUAUACAAGUGUCGUGCUACUAGGCGAAGCAGCAGAGAAUGUUGCAUCCUAGAUGGAAAGAGUCCAAUAGUCGAAAGCAUCACUAGCUUACGCUCUGACUCGAGUAGCAUGGUGCAUGUGGAAUCCCGUGUGAAUCAGCAAGGACCACCUUGCAAGGCUAAAUACUCCUAGGUAACCGAUAGUGAAGUAGUACCGUGAGGGAAGGGUGAAAGGAACCCCCAUCGUUG